UCUAGUUCACCAUGUGUUAAACUACUUAAGCGAUUGUUUAUGUUUAUGUGGCGAAAUUAAAAACAUUCUUUCAUUACGAAUUUUACAGCACAAAUAUAACGAAAUCUAAAUCCGAAAAGCACAAUAUUAAUUUCGCAGAAUAUAUUAUAAUGCAUAUAAGAGCAUUAUUUAUUACUUACACACAAACAUAUGCAAAUACAUCUGCAUUAAUAGACGACAAGUAUCAGAUAAUUCUGGGCGUGAAUCGGCUUAGUAAUAUCACGAACAACAAAGGCAUUCCGGAAAGUGAAGGUUAUUAUUCGGCUAAUAGCAUAAAAUUCGCAUAUAAAAUUAAAUCUAAAAUAUUUACAGUUUUAGUUUAAUGGUUUAUUACUGAUAGUUUUAAUUAGAGCGUUUAUUAGAUAAAUUAAUCCAAUUGUUAAAAAAUUAAUUUGGUAGCAAAAAUAUCGGUAAAUGCAAUAAACCAAAUGACAGAUAUCCAGUGCUAGAUGUAAAAAACGUAAAUCGGAUAAAAUUUUGUAUACUACAUACAUUAAUUCGAAAAUUGCAAAGCCAGUCAGUUCUCUUAUUAAAAAUAUGUAACAAAUUUGAAAUCUCAAACUGAUUCCUUAUGAAUAUAAUUAUAGAAAGUAUACUGCAUAAUUACAAUAACUAAUUAGCAGUGGUUGCUAACCAUUAUAUUAUAUCUACUCUGAUCUUUUUGUGAAUUACGCACUAAUUACCCGUUUUCCGAAGUUCGUAAAUUAAAACGUUCCAAAGUAUAAAAAUGUGACAGAAUUGUCUCUUCUAAAUUACUAAAUGAUACACUAAUUUAAAUUAAGAAAACCAAUAUUUAGACAAAUACUUGACUAAAAAAUUGUUCAAACCUAAUGCAACACCGCCUAUUUACUGUGGAAUGGGGGUUACUAACUGAAACGAUUACCUCUAUAUGGAUAUUAUAGAUAUGGUCUACUCCGAAUAUUUGACAGUUUUACCUGAUAUAAAAAUCUUAUUGCGCCUAGUUAAUUCUUCAUGAUUUUUCAUUUAACAACGAUAAUUUAGAUUACUCAUUAUAAAAAGGACCGUUUUGCAGUAAGUACCUCAAAUAAUUAAAGCUAAACUCUGUAAAAAGUUAGAUAAACAGUAUCCAUUUUCCGUUUGGCGCGGAGUAACAGAAUCACAAUGUAUCAGCUAACAACUUAAAUAUUUUAUGCGUUUUCAUUAUUCGCUCCCCGGUAUCGUGCUUCGAAAAUCAUUUCAUCCAAAAACUGAUUUCAACCACACAGGAUCAAUUUUCUAUUGUUGGCCAAGAAAUAUAAAUAGCAAUCUUCGUAUACAUACACAUAUAUGAGUUAUAAAGCAUGCACCCACCUCGAUUUUACGUCCCUCAACCACAGUGCCGUGAAGACGUUCGCGAGCUCGUUCAGCGUCGUUGCUAUUUGC